rnacentral:rRNA from 1 species
UACGUAGGGACCAAGCGUUGUUCGGAUUUACUGGGCGUAAAGGGCGCGUAGGCGGCGAAUCAAGUCAGCUGUGAAAUCUCCGGGCUUAACUCGGAAAGGUCAACUGAUACUGUGCGACUAGAGUGCAGAAGGGGCAACUGGAAUUCUCGGUGUAGCGGUGAAAUGCGUAGAUAUCGAGAGGAACACCUGCGGCGAAGGCGGGUUGCUGGGCUGACACUGACGCUGAUGCGCGAAAGCCAGGGGAGCGAACGGG